AUGUGGAUUAAUUCGAUGCAACGCGAAAACCUUACUACCCUUGACAUGUCUGGAAUGCCGAAGAGAUUUGGCAGUGCUCGCAAGAGAACCGGAACACAGGUGCUGCAUGGCUGUCGUCAGCUCGUGUCGUGAGAUGUUGGGUUAAGUCCCGCAACGAGCGCAACCCUUGUCAUUAGUUGCUACAUUUAGUUGGGCACUCUAAUGAGACUGCCGGUGACAAACCGGAGGAAGGUGGGGAUGACGUCAAGUCCUCAUGGCCCUUAUAGGUGGGGCUACACACGUCAUACAAUGGCCGGUACAAAGGGCUGCCAACCCGCGAGGGGGAGCCAAUCCCAUAAAACCGGUCGUAGUCCGGAUCGCAGUCUGCAACUCGACUGCGUGAAGUCGGAAUCGCUAGUAAUCGUGGAUCAGAAUGUCACGGUGAAUACGUUCCCGGGUCUU
rnacentral:rRNA from 1 species